GAUGAAGAACGCAGCGAAAUGCGAUAAGUAAUGUGAAUUGCAGAAUUCAGUGAAUCAUCGAAUCUUUGAACGCACAUUGCGCCCGCCAGUAUUCUGGCGGGCAUGCCUGUUCGAGCGUCAUUUCAACCAUCAAGCCCCAGGCUUGUGUUGGGGACCUGCGGCUGCCGCAGGCCCUGAAAACCAGUGGCGGGCUCGCUGUCACACCGGGCGUAGUAGAUUUUAUCUCGCUCAGGGCGUGCUGCGGGUUCCGGCCGUUAAAAAGCCUUUUUUACCCAAGGUUGACCUCAAAUCAGGUAGGACUACCCGCUGAACUUAAGCAUAUCAAUAAGCGGAGGA
rnacentral:misc_RNA from 1 species